ACUCCUACGGGAGGCAGCAGUAGGGAAUCUUCCACAAUGGGCGCAAGCCUGAUGGAGCAACACCGCGUGAGUGAAGAAGGGUUUCGGCUCGUAAAGCUCUGUUGUUAAAGAAGAACACGUAUGAGAGUAACUGUUCAUACGUUGACGGUAUUUAACCAGAAAGUCACGGCUAACUACGUGCCAGCAGCCGCGGUAAUACGUAGGUGGCAAGCGUUAUCCGGAUUUAUUGGGCGUAAAGAGAGUGCAGGCGGUUUUUCUAAGUCUGAUGUGAAAGCCUUCGGCUUAACCGGAGAAGUGCAUCGGAAACUAGGAUAAACUUGAGUGCAGAAAGAAGGGUAAGUGGAACUCCAUGUGUAGCGGUGGAAUGCGUAGAUAUAUGAA
rnacentral:rRNA from 1 species